AGAGUUUGAUCAUGGCUCAGGACGAACGCUGGCGGCGUGCCUAAUACAUGCAAGUAGAACGCUGAAAUCUGGUGCUUGCACCGGAUGGAUGAGUUGCGAACGGGUGAGUAACGCGUAGGUAACCUACCUCAUAGCGGGGGAUAACUAUUGGAAACGAUAGCUAAUACCGCAUAACAGUCUUUAACUCAUGUUAGAGUCUUGAAAGGGGCAAUUGCUUCACUAUGAGAUGGACCUGCGUUGUAUUAGCUAGUUGGUGAGGUAACGGCUCACCAAGGCGACGAUACAUAGCCGACCUGAGAGGGAGAUCGGCCACACUGGGACUGAGACACGGCCCAGACUCCUACGGGAGGCAGCAGUAGGGAAUCUUCGGCAAUGGGGGCAACCCUGACCGAGCAACGCCGCGUGAGUGAAGAAGGUUUUCGGAUCGUAAAGCUCUGUUGUAAGAGAAGAACGUGUGUGAGAGUGGAAAGUUCACACAGUGACGGUAUCUUACCAGAAAGGGACGGCUAACUACGUGCCAGCAGCCGCGGUAAUACGUAGGUCCCGAGCGUUGUCCGGAUUUAUUGGGCGUAAAGCGAGCGCAGGCGGUUUGAUAAGUCUGAAGUUAAAGGCUGUGGCUCAACCAUAGUACGCUUUGGAAACUGUCAAACUUGAGUGCAUAAGGGGAGAGUGGAAUUCCACGUGUAGCGGUGAAAUGCGUAGAUAUAUGGAGGAACACCGGUGGCGAAAGCGGCUCUCUGGUCUGUAACUGACGCUGAGGCUCGAAAGCGUGGGUAGCGAACAGGAUUAGAUACCCUGGUAGUCCACGCCGUAAACGAUGAGUGUCUAGGUGUUAGGCCCUUUCCGGGGCUUAGUGCCGCAGCUA
rnacentral:rRNA from 1 species